GACGAACGCUGGCGGCGUGCUUAACACAUGCAAGUCGAACGGAAAGGCCCUGCUUUUGUGGGGUGCUCGGGUUGCGAACUGGUGAGUAACCCUUGAGUAACCUGCCCUUCACUUUGGGAUAUCUUCAUGCAACUUGAUCUCAUCCCGGAUAGGUUCUCCUCCUUCAUUUUGGGGCUUGUAAAGUUUCGUCGUUUGGGGAUGGACUCGCGGCUUAUCAGAUUGUUGGUGGGGUAGUGGCUUACCAAGGCUUGGACGGGUAGCCGACCUGAGGGGGUGACCGGACAAAUUGGGACUGAGAUAAGGCCCAGACUACAACGGGAGGCAAGAGAGGGGAAGAUUACACAAUGGGCGGAAGGAUGAUGCAGGAAAGCCGCGUGCGGGAUGACGGGCUUCGGGUUGUAAACCGCAUUCGCCUGUGACGAAGCGUGAGUGACGGUAAUGGGUAAAGAAGCACCGGCUAACUACGUG
rnacentral:rRNA from 1 species